rnacentral:rRNA from 1 species
UCGAGGAUCUUCGGCAAUGGGCGCAAGCCUGACCGAGCGACGUCGCGUGCGGGAUGAAGGCCUUCGGGUUGUAAACCGCUGUCAGUGGGGAGGAAGUAUAGGUGGGUACUCCCAUCUAUUUGACCUAUCCGCAGAGGAAGUGUGGGCUAAGUUCGUGCCAGCAGCCGCGGUAAGACGAACCACACGAGCGUUAUUCGGAAUCACUGGGCUUAAAGGGUGCGUAGGCGGCGUUGCAAGUUGGGUGUGAAAU